AGGAGCCUUUAUUUUCGAUAAUGACAAGAAAGAGAAUAUGUUUUCUGCGAUGCAUUGACUCCCGUCACUCAGGCAGGCUCGCGCUCUUUGGUGAGUCUUUUCCAAAGCGCUCCACUCGAGGAUGUUGGGCAUUAAGCUGAUGGGCCUGUCAUCCCGACCCAUUUGCAGUCGCUAGCCUCUCUGCCUGUUUUGCUUUCUGCUGUAAUUAGGUUGAAUUCAGACCAGAUAGAAUUACAUUAUUCUGCAUUUCGAGCUACAGUCCUUGACUCUCCAGCUCCCCCGGGAUAACCUGGCGCCUCCUGCCCAGAUCAGACGACUGUAACUGGACUGAGUCGACGGACCACUCGGGGGGAAAAAGAAAAACGCUGAGAUGCAGGCUAUUCGGGAGUAUUGAGAGACGUCAUCUUGUAUGGAGGAUGAACCGUACAGAAGCAGCAUCGCUCAAGAAGAGCAUCUUGAAUAACGUAAAUUGACAAGGCACUGGAAAAGAACCAGAAGGAAAACUAAGGAAGCACUAACCAAGCAGUGUUGUAAGCAUGACUAUGCCCCCAUGCACAAAGCGAGG